UACGGAGGGUGCAAGCGUUGUCCGGAUUUAUUGGGCUUAAAGGGCGCGUAGGCGGCCCGUUAAGUCUGUGGUGAAAGCCUCCAGCUCAACUGGAGAACUGCCAUUGAUACUGACGGGCUUGAGUACAGACGAGGUUGGCGGAAUUGAUUGUGUAGCGGUGAAAUGCAUAGAUACAAUCAAGAACUCCGAUUGCGUAGGCAGCUAGCUGGGCUGUAACUGACGCUGAGGCACGAAAGCGUGGGGAGCGAACAGG
rnacentral:rRNA from 1 species